AACCAUUCUCACCUGCGGCUAGACCUGCGGAGGGAUCAUUACACAAUAACAUAUGAAGGCUGUACGCGGCUGCGCCCUCGGGCCAGUUGGCUGAGGCUGGAGUAUUUAUUACCCUUGUCUUUUGCGCACUUGUUGUUUCCUGGGCGGGUUCGCCCGCCACCAGGACCACAUGAUAAACCUUUUUUUAUGCAGUUGCAAUCAGCGUCAGUACAACAAAUGUAAAUCAUUUACAACUUUCAG
rnacentral:misc_RNA from 1 species